UAAUUAUGCUAAUCUCAAUUAAUCUCAAUUAGUACUAAUAUUAAUGUUAAUUAAAAGGGGAAGAAAGAGGAAAUUAGGGUUCGUGUAUGGCUACCUAACUUUUGAACCAGACUCGUCUCCCUCGUUGAUUCACGGCGCACAAACAACGGCCUCUUAUCUUCUUCUUCGGCGAGCGUUUUGAACGCCGUCGUGAAUUGAUAUCACCUCCUCUCUCAAUCUCAUCUCCGAUCGAAAAUCUCACUUCCGGUUACUCGACGAGUUCUCCUCUCAUUUCCGCUCUAUCCCCGAUUCAAUAAUAGCGAAUAACCGAACAUAAAUCAAAGAAGAGAUGGAGAGUGUUACCUGGAAGGAAGCACAUGCGCAGGGAGAGAAAUCCCAAGAGGUGAAUCCGAGCUUCAAAACUGCGAAAUAAACGCAAGAACACUGAGAAAUCUUUCAGGGAAGUGAGAUUGAAGAAUGUUGUGGAGAAGAACUGUGUAGGUUGAAGAAUAACGUUCUACAGAUUGGUGAUUAAGGUGCAGAGUGAAGGAGAGAUCGGUGAAGCUUUUUCUAGUUUUCUGAUUCUUGUUGGUUGAAGAAUGAAGAAUCGAAGGAAAGAGGUGAUUGAAGCAGUGAAGAUUGAGGGCACACAUUUUGGAGUUUUGUUCUAAAGCUGAGUCGGUUAUGAGCUGUUAUGGAAGUUUUCCUGAAUCAAAUUUUGUGAGGACUGUUCGAAUUUGCAAGGCCCAGUUUGGUUGUUGGGAGCGGUUUUGAUGAGCUUGGUGUACGUAACUGUAUGGGCUGAUGUAGCGCGCUGGUGGAGUUGGCUGAUUUAAUUUUUGUAUUCUUUGAAUUGUAUUGAUUUUUGGAUGUAAUAUGAACAUUAAAUGUGGAUAUAAUUUUGCCGGUAUAAUCUUUUUAAUCAACUUGAAUGAACUUUGAAUGGAUAUUUGAGUGA